rnacentral:misc_RNA from 1 species
ACGGAUGGUCUCAGCACUAUCAUGCCUGGGAGGAUCAAAGAGGGGUAGCAAUCCAACAAAUUGCCAUGGACCUCCAGUGCUCUCUUUUGAUUUCUCUGGCACUUCCUGUCUAGCUACAGCCAGUGACCUCAACCCACGCUCAGCGUAUUUGUCGAUCAUUGAAUGAACCUUUCUCCUGACAUCUUCCUUACAGUUACAUAGGUCCAAAAUCUGCUCAGGAGCUCCCUUGCUGGCACGGUGCCAGUUGCCAUUGCUGUCAAUAUAUGUUAAAGCAGUUCUCUUGUCCACUGGAUUGAAGGGCAAGAAAUGCACCUCCCUGAUACCAGCUCGUGCCUCUUUUGGA